rnacentral:rRNA from 1 species
AGGACGAACGCUGGCGGCGUGCUUAACACAUGCGAGUCGAGCGAGGCCCGCCUUUCGGGGUGGUGUCCUAGCGGCGAACGGGUGAGUAACACGUGGGCAACCUGCCCCUGGCUCUGGGAUAACUCCAAGAAAUUGGGGCUAAUACCGGAUAUGACCGCUGACCGCAUGGUCUGGUGGUGGAAAGAUUUAUCGGCUGGGGAUGGGCCCGCGGCCUAUCAGCUUGUUGGUGGGGUAGUGGCCCACCAAGGCGACGACGGGUAGCCGGCCUGAGAGGGUGACCGGCCACACUGGGACUGAGACACGGCCCAGACUCCUACGGGAGGCAGCAGUGGGGAAUAUUGCGCAAUGGGCGGAAGGCCUGACGCAGCGACGCCGCGUGGGGGAUGACGGCCU